rnacentral:tRNA from 1 species
CAUUAGAUGACUGAAAGCAAGUACUGGUCUCCUUAAACCAUAUAAUAGUAAAUUAGCACUUACUUCUAAUGA